CUCCCGGUGGCAUUGACCUAUCCUUCUGCAGCAGCUGCUGGUGGAAGAUGAUGAGCUUCACCUGUGUUUGCCAUGCAGGAACAUGAGCAAUACAGAAGCUGUCCAUGCAACUCUGCUGGCCUCUCACCAUACGGUCAAGGUCACCACGAUGCAGGUGGAUGGCAACCUGCAGUCAGUGCUCCAGGCCUCUAAGGAACUCAAGUCAGAAAGGUGAUUCAUGUAUUCUCCAUAGCUGAAGAACCGCUGACCCAGAAUGGCAAGAUUACUGCUGAUGGGCUCUAGAAGGUGUUUGAAACCAACGUCUUUGACCACUUUAUAAGAACUACAACCUCUCCUCUGUCAUCUUGAUUAUCUUGGAUACAACCUACAGUGCCUGGAAAUCCCACUGUUAUUAUCAGGCUUGAAAACAUCCAGCACAGCAAAGGCCAGGAGCCAGGCAGCUCUCCCAGAUCACCACUGCCCUGAGUGUGGCUUUGAACAGAGACUUCAACCAGCUGCUCAGGCACAGUGGUGGCCAACCUUACAUAUGAAAUUCUGCCUCCUUUAAUCUGGAUGCUGCUGGUGCCCAUCAUAUUAUUUCCUGGUGAAUUCUUUCACAGCAACACCUUACAAUGGAGCAGAAGUGUUAGUCUCUCAAUCCACUGACCAAGAUGGACCUGGAUAAAGACUCUGCCAAAUG
rnacentral:lncRNA from 1 species